UACAGAGGGGGCUAGCGUUGUUCGGAAUUACUGGGCGUAAAGGGCGCGCAGGCGGCUGCUCAAGUCAGGCGUGAAAGGCCUGGGCUCAACCCGGGAAUUGCGCUUGAGACUGAGCUGGCUUGAGUGCGGGAGAGGAUGGUGGAAUUCCCAGUGUAGAGGUGAAAUUCGUAGAUAUUGGGAAGAACACCGGUGGCGAAGGCGGCCAUCUGGACCGCAACUGACGCUGAGGCGCGAAAGCGUGGGGAGCAAACAGG
rnacentral:rRNA from 1 species